AGCGUGCUGGAAUUUUGACAAUGUUGGAUAAAGAAAGCCUAUUCGCAAGAGGAAGCUACCAGAAUUUCUUACAAAAAGUUAAGGGACAGCAUAAAGACAGCAAUUGUUUUUUCGAUCCAGAUUCCGAAAGUUCGUGUUUUGGAGUAUCGCACUACAAUGGAAACAUCGUUUACGAUGCCAGCUCUCUUUUGAACAUAAACAGAGACUCCAUCACUGAUGACAUUAUCUGUGUGUUCUCGAGACAG